AAGCCAAUCCAAUUUCCUCCAUUUCCAAAGUAUCUUAUGCCAUUCCAUAAGGUGUAUCAACAACCGCAUAAGUCGUUCGUAGACAUUAUUGGCAUAGUUCUUCAUUUAGAGCCAUUAAAGCAUAUCGGUGGAAGGCCGUAUAGAGAGGCUGUACUAAUGGAUUCCAGGUGGGAUCUAAUCGUCGUGGGGGUAUGGACU